GUCUAUGGCCAUACCACCCUGAACACAUCUGACCCCAAUCUCGUCUUACCUCAGAAGCUAAGCAGGGCAGGGCCUGGUUAGUACUUGGAUGGGAGACUGGGGACCUGGGAAUGCUGGGUGCUACAGGCU
ensembl:rRNA 5S_rRNA 5S ribosomal RNA